AGCAGUAGCCGCGGUAAUACGGAGGGAGCUAGCGUUGUUCGGAAUUACUGGGCGUAAAGCGCGCGUAGGCGGUUACUCAAGUCAGAGGUGAAAGCCCGGGGCUUAACCCCGGAACUGCCUUUGAAACUAGGUGACUAGAAUCUUGGAGAGGUCAGUGGAAUUCCGAGUGUAGAGGUGAAAUUCGUAGAUAUUCGGAAGAACACCAGUGGCGAAGGCGACUGACUGGACAAGUAUUGACGCUGAGGUGCGAAAGCGUGGGGAGCAAACAGGAUUAGAUACCCCAGUAGUCCCUGUCUCUUAUAC
rnacentral:rRNA from 1 species